rnacentral:lncRNA from 1 species
GAGCAACGCCAGGGCCUACGGCUUCCAGAAGGCUGAGCGGCGAGGGCUAACCCCGAGCUGCGAAGAGGCGGUUGGGUGCUUGGGGCGGGAAUGUUUCUCCGGCUCUUGUCAGAACACUAGGGAGCCAGGUCCGGAGAGUAGGAGGGAAGAGACACAUUUAUGCCUGUCCUCGAGGCAUAAUAUGUGUAAAAAUGCCAGACAGAGCAUAUGUCUCUCGCCCAAAUAUCCAAAGGCUUCCUAUCGCAAAGUAAAAAAAAAAAAAGGUGACCUUUGAGCAAGGACCUAAAAUAGAAAAUUUCGGAGACAAAAUUUCAGAACUGCAAAAACAGAGAGCAGACCAAAGACGUUUAUUCCAAGUCCUUUUAUUUUCUACCCAAGAUGAUAUUGUAUGAUAGUCAGAUGUUACCCACUUUGCUUCUCAGCCCUCUGUUGAUGGAGCUUUUCUCUUCUUUUUCUCUGAGCAGUCUGUGUUCCUUCCCUGAAGAGAAGGCCAACAAAUGGAGAGGGUGGGCUCAUGGUAUAGCUCCAUGGGCAGAACCAGUAACUGCUUCAUAGGGACAGGGUGCCCUGGGGCAAAAAUGAUGCAACUACAACUGUUUUUUCCUUAUUUGGGGCGCCAAUAGACAUAAUCUUUUCCUAUUUGCUAAUGGUAAAAUUUAAAAAGCAAGCAUACGUAUGUUCCAGAAAGAGAAAUGUCAUGAAUUUUGCAUGGCAUUAUAUAUUUCCAUUUAAAUUAUAAAAUGUCUGUUAGAAUGGAAC